rnacentral:rRNA from 1 species
AGCGAACGUUAGCGGCGGGCCUAACACAUGCAAGUCGAACGCGAAAGGUCUUCGGACUGAGUAGAGUGGCGCACGGGUGAGUAACACGUAGGUAAUCUACCCUUUGGCGGGGGAUAACGUUCCGAAAGGAGCGCUAAUACCGCAUAAGACCACGUGGUCUCCGGACCGAGUGGGAAAAGGUGGCCUCUUCUUGAAAGCUACCACCGAAGGAUGAGCCUGCGUCCCAUCAGCUAGUUGGUAAGGUAAUGGCUUACCAAGGCGAAGACGGGUAGCUGGUUUGAGAGAAUGAUCAGCCACACUGGCACUGGAACACGGGCCAGACUCCUACGGGAGGCAGCAGUGAGGAAUAUUGGACAAUGGGCGAGAGCCUGAUCCAGCCAUGCCGCGUGCAGGAAGACGGCCCUAUGGGUUGUAAACUGCUUUUGUACGGGAAGAAACACCCCCUCGUGAGGGGGCUUGACGGUACCGUAAGAAUAAGGAUCGGCUAACUCCGUGCCAGCAGCCGCGGUAAUGUG